AAACCAACCGGGAUUGCCUUAGUAACGGCGAGUGAAGCGGCAAAAGCUCAAAUUUGAAAUCUGGUACCUUCGGUGCCCGAGUUGUAAUUUGGAGAGGGCAACUUUGGGGCCGUUCCUUGUCUAUGUUCCUUGGAACAGGACGUCAUAGAGGGUAAGAAUCCCGUGUGGCGAGGAGUGCGGUUCUUUGUAAAGUGCCUUCGAAGAGUCGAGUUGUUUGGGAAUGCAGCUCUAAGUGGGUGGUAAAUUCCAUCUAAAGCUAAAUAUUGGCGAGAGACCGAUAGCGAACAAGUACAGUGAUGGAAAGAUGAAAAGAACUUUGAAAAGAGAGUGAAAGAGUACGUGAAAUUGUUGAAAGGGAAGGGCAUUUGAUCAGACAUGGUGUUUUGUGCCCUCUGCUCCUUGUGGGUAGGGGAAUCUCGCAUUUCACUGGGCCAGCAUCAGUUUGUGGCAGGAUAAAUCCAUAGGAAUGUAGCUUGCCUCGGUAAGUAUUAUAGCCUGUGGGAAUACUGCC
rnacentral:rRNA from 1 species